GAGGUAUAGUUGGGGGUUUAGAGGGUAUAGUAGUAGGAGGAGAAGCACGGAGCUGCUGGAUGGAGAGAAACAGGAGUAGAACUGAUGAAGGAAACAAUGGAGAAAUGGAAGUGAUGCCCUGAUGCAAGCCACCUCCUGAUGCUAGUGUUAAACUUCACAAACUUCUCAACGUUUUA
rnacentral:lncRNA from 1 species